rnacentral:rRNA from 1 species
UACGAAGGGAGCUAGCGUUGUUCGGAAUCACUGGGCGUAAAGCGCACGUAGGCUGAUGUGUCAGUCAGAGGUGAAAUCCCGGAGCUCAACUUCGGAACUGCCUUUGAUACAGCACGUCUUGAGUCCGAUAGAGGUGGGUGGAAUUCCUAGUGUAGAGGUGAAAUUCGUAGAUAUUAGGAAGAACACCGGUGGCGAAGGCGGCCCACUGGAUCGGUACUGACGCUGAGGUGCGAAAGCGUGGGGAGCAAACAGG